CUAGCUAUUAAGCACCGGGAAUGAUUCUUUGAACAAAAGAAGGCAUAGGUCCACAUACAGCUGGUGGUUCCACGGAGUUCCCUGGGAACUGAGGCCUCAUACCGCAAGGGUGGUCAUGGAAAGUCAAGGCCCAGAAUGCGGCUAGGCCCGGGCGCCCCCUCCCCUGCUGUGUGCACCCCGGAGACGCCAACCUUGCAGCUGACAAGAAUAUCCCAGGAUCGCGGUUCUUAAGGUAUGAAGGAUUGAGGUAGGAAAUGAACAGCGGGGUGAAUUCAAAGCGAGGAGAGUAAAUGAUUCAAGGACGAGAUAAGUAAUGAUA